rnacentral:lncRNA from 10 species
AUCUUAUUCCUAGAUUUGGACUGCCCUUACGGAUCGGCUCAGAUAAUGGGCUGGCGUUUGUGGCUGACUUGGUACAGAAGACGGCAAAGGUGAUUGAGUGUGGAUCAAGGACUGGAACGUAGCCUCUUUGUGCCCACAGUGGAAAGGACCCCAGAUUGUCGUCCUGACCACUCCCACCGCUGUGAAGGUAGAGGGAAUCCCAGCCUGGAUCCACCACAGCCAUGUAAAACCUGCAGCACCUGAAACCUAGAAGGCAAGACCAAGCCUGGACAACCCUUGCAGAGUGACCCUGAAGAAGACAAGCCCUGCUCCAGUCACACCCGGAAGCUGACUGGUCCACGCAUAGCCGAAGCAUGAGGAAGUUCACUGUGGAACUCAUUUUUUUAAAUUUUGGACUUGUACAGUAAGGACUUCAACUGACCUUCUUCAGACUGAGGUAGGGUUAAAAAAAAAAAGUUAAAAUAGUCUUUUUGUUUAAAAAGGACUUGUGUGUAU